ACCAGGGCCUGUUGUUGACAAGUUUAUGAGACGGAGUGAAGGGUGGCUUACAAACACACUGAUAAAAACACUGAGGGCUGGCAAAGAGCCCCUGUAUGCAUGUGAGUGUCCCAUCCAGGGUGCAGUCUCACCUUGUACUCCCUGCCCAUGACCCUCUGAGGAUAAAGCAGAACACCACCCCUGGAUGCCAAUUAAACAGUACAGAUGUUGAAAAUGGAACCUUGUUAUAUGGACUGACACUGGAAUA